rfam:Cryptococcus bestiolae CBS 10118 unplaced genomic scaffold supercont1.3, whole genome shotgun sequence.
GCCUUUAUAGCUCAAUCGGUCAGAGCAUCCGACUUUUAUGUAAAAUUAUGUGCAUCGGAAGGUUGGGGGUUCGAGUCCCCCUAAAGGCU